rnacentral:rRNA from 1 species
UAACGCGUGGGUAACCUGCCUCAUACAGGGGGAUAGCAGCUGGAAACGGCUGAUAAAACCGCAUAAGCGCACAGCAUCGCAUGAUGCAGUGUGAAAAACUCCGGUGGUAUGAGAUGGACCCGCGUCUGAUUAGCUUGUUGGUGAGGUAACGGCCCACCAAGGCGACGAUCAGUAGCCGGCCUGAGAGGGUGACCGGCCACAUUGGGACUGAGACACGGCCCAA